GACGAACGCUGGCGGCGUGCUUAACACAUGCAAGUCGAACGGAAAGGCCCUGCUUUUGUGGGGUGCUCGAGUGGCGAACGGGUGAGUAACACGUGAGUAACCUGCCCUUGACUUUGGGAUAACUUCAGGAAACUGGGGCUAAUACCGGAUAGGAGCUCCUGCUGCAUGGUGGGGGUUGGAAAGUUUCGGCGGUUGGGGAUGGACUCGCGGCUUAUCAGCUUGUUGGUGGGGUAGUGGCUUACCAAGGCUUUGACGGGUAGCCGGCCUGAGAGGGUGACCGGCCACAUUGGGAAUGAGAUACGGCCCAGACUCCUACGGGAGGCAGCAGGGGGGAAUAUUGCACAAUGGGCGGAAGCCUGAUGCAGAAACGCCGCGUGCGGGAUGACGGCCUUCGGGUUGUAAACCGCUUUCGCCUGUGACGAAGCGUGAGUGACGGGAAGGGGUAAAGAAGCACCGGCUAACUACG
rnacentral:rRNA from 1 species